AUGUGGGAAGGCCCAGACAGCCAGGAUGUUGGCUUAGAAGCAGCCAUCAUUUAAAGAAAGCGUAAUAGCUCACUGGUCGAGUCGGCCUGCGCGGAAGAUGUAACGGGGCUAAACCAUGCACCGAAGCUGCGGCAGCGACACUGUGUGUUGUUGGGUAGGGGAGCGUUCUGUAAGCCUGUGAAGGUGUGUCGUGAGGCAUGCUGGAGGUAUCAGAAGUGCGAAUGCUGACAUAAGUAACGAUAAAGCGGGUGAAAAGCCCGCUCGCCGGAAGACCAAGGGUUCCUGUCCAACGUUAAUCGGGGCAGGGUGAGUCGACCCCUAAGGCGAGGCCGAAAGGCGUAGUCGAUGGGAAACGGGUUAAUAUUCCCGUACUUGGUGUUACUGCGAAGGGGGGACGGAGAAGGCUAUGUUGGCCGGGCGACGGUUGUCCCGGUUUAAGCGUGUAGGUGUGUGUUCCAGGUAAAUCCGGUUCACUUUAACACUGAGGCGUGACGACGAGGCACUACGGUGCUGAAGCAACAAAUGCCCUGCUUCCAGGAAAAGCCUCUAAGCAUCAGGUAACAUCAAAUCGUACCCCAAACCGACACAGGUGGUCAGGUAGAGAAUACCAAGGCGCUUGAGAGAACUCGGGUGAAGGAACUAGGCAAAAUGGUGCCGUAACUUCGGGAGAAGGCACGCUGACACGUAGGUGAAGUGAUUUACUCAUGGAGCUGAAGUCAGUCGAAGAUACCAGCUGGCUGCAACUGUUUAUUAAAAACACAGCACUGUGCAAACACGAAAGUGGACGUAUACGGUGUGACGCCUGCCCGGUGCCGGAAGGUUAAUUGAUGGGGUCAGCGCAAGCGAAGCUCCUGAUCGAAGCCCCGGUAAACGGCGGCCGUAACUAUAACGGUCCUAAGGUAGCGAAAUUCCUUGUCGGGUAAGUUCCGACCUGCACGAAUGGCGUAAUGAUGGCCAGGCUGUCUCCACCCGAGACUCAGUGAAAUUGAACUCGCUGUGAAGAUGCAGUGUACCCGCGGCAAGACGGAAAGACCCCGUGAACCUUUACUAUAGCUUGACACUGAACAUUGAGCCUUGAUGUGUAGGAUAGGUGGGAGGCUUUGAAGUGUGGACGCCAGUCUGCAUGGAGCCGACCUUGAAAUACCACCCUUUAAUGUUUGAUGUUCUAACGUGGACCCGUUACCCGGGUUGCGGACAGUGUCUGGUGGGUAGUUUGACUGGGGCGGUCUCCUCC
rnacentral:rRNA from 1 species